GCUUUCAUGUCCUGACAACUCUGAAAGUGCCUCUGUAUGCCCCCCGUUCCCCCCGCAGUGUCCAGCGGCGCUCCCAGCACGUUUGGCCUUUAUUUCCAGCAGGAACACUCACUACAGCUGCUACCUACGGCAGGGACCGCGCCCGGGGCGGGGCAGGGAGAAUAAAUUAAACGGGGCCGGCGUAAAAAACCCAAAUAACCGACAGCGGGAACGCGGGAACGGAAAUGGGAAAUGACGGAGGGCUGGGGACACGGAGAAGGGCUGGGGACACGGAGAUGGGCUGGGGACACGGAGAAGGGAGGGCUGGGGACACGGAGCUGUGCGGACGCGCUGGUGGAUGUCGCGGCUCCGGCGCCGAGGAGGACGCGCGGUUCCCCGCCCUGGCAGCUCCUCUCCCUCCUGGGCUGGGCUGGAGCUCCCCGAAAACCCCUCCGAGGUUUGGGGGGGCCGGGGGGCCGGGGGGGGGGGGGGGGGGGGGGGGGGGGGGGGGGGGGGGGGGGGGGGGGGGGGGGGGGGGGGGGGGGGGGGGGGGGGGGGGGGGGGGGGGGGGGGGGGGGGGGGGGGGGGGGGGGGGGGGGGGGGGGGGGGGGGGGGGGGGGGGGGUGCCACCGCCUGUGUCCCCCCGGCCUGGCCGGGGCUCCUGGCCAUGGUGGCCGCAGCGGGAGCCUGUCCCCGCUUUAGUCGUUGGAGGUGACGUCGAUGUCUUCCCCGCUGGACUGCUUGGUGGCCAGGCGCCAUCGGUUGAUGUGGUGCGAGCCUUUCUUCUUCUGCUCCGAGUCGGGGCCCUCCUCCUCCAGCUUCUGCCGUUUGUACUUCGUCCUCCUGUUCUGGAACCACACUUUCACCUGGGACAGGGACAGAGGUGAUUGUGGGGGCCUGGCACAGCUGGCUGUGCGCAGCUGGAUCUGCACAGCUGGCCCGGCACAGCUGGCUGCUGCAGGCGGGGAAGAAGUUUGGGUUUCACUGGAGAGUGGCCAAACUGCCCCUGUCCCUGUUCCUGGCCCUGGCCCUGACCCUGACCCUGGCCGGGGGGGGGGGGGGGGGGGGGGGGGGGGGGGGGGGGGGGGGGGGGGGGGGGGGGGGGGGGGGGGGGGGGGGGGGGGGGGGGGGGGGGGGGGGGGGGGGGGGGGGGGGGGGGG
rnacentral:lncRNA from 1 species